CAAUUAAUUACAUUCACAGUAAAAAUAUUUAUAUAUCAAAUAUUUGGUCCUUUCGUACUAAAAUAUUCCAAUUACUUAAAGAUAGAAACCAACCUGGCUUACGCCGGUUUGAACUCAGAUCAUGUAAGAAUUUAAAAGUCGAACAGACUUAAAAUUCAAGCUGCUACACCUAAACCUAUCUCUUAAUCCAACAUCGAGGUCGCAAUCCCUUUUAUCGAUAAGAACUCUCCAAAAAAAUUACGCUGUUAUCCCUAAAGUAACUUAAUUUUAUAAUCGUUAUUAACGGAUCAAACAACCAUAAAUAAAUGUCACCAAAAAUUAAAAGUUCAUUAAAUUUUAAUAUCACCCCAAUAAAAUAAUAUCAAUUACUAUAGCACAAAAUAUCUAAAUAACCAUAACAAACUAAUUAUAAAGAUUUAUAGGGUCUUCUCGUCUUUAAAACCCAUUUCAGCUUUUUUACUGAAAAAUAAAAUUCUAAUUCAAAUUCAAAUGAAACAGUUAGUAUCUCGUCCAACCAUUCAUUCCAGCCUUCAAUUAAAAGACUAAUGAUUAUGCUACCUUUGCACAGUUAAAAUACUGCGGCCAUUCAACUUUCAGUGGGCAGGCUAGACCUUAUAUUUAUAAUCAAAAGGACAUGUUUUUGUUAAACAGGCGGAUACUUAUUUUGCCGAAUUCCUUACAAAAACUUAUCAUAAAUAAUUAUUAACACAAACUUAUAUACUAAUUUUAUCAUUAUUACCUAAUAAACACCAUUAAUAUAAAUAUUUUAAUAAAAACUUAAAAUUAAAUUAAAUAUUUUAACAAAAAGAAUAAAUUAUAACAUCCUCUUAAAUGAUAGCUAAUUCUAAGCCUACAUUUCCAACAAAAUUUAACCACUUUUAAUAAUCUAUUUCACAGCUUAUCCCGCAAAACAUUAGACCAAAUCAAUUAUCAAAUUAACAAAACAACUUAAUAAUAAAAAUAGCCCUAAAUUCAACUUAUUUCUUAAAAAACUAGAUAUCUCUAAAAACGAAUAACAUCUCAUUUCUAACACCCUGUUCUAAAUAACUUUACCACGUUAACUUAAACAAAAUAUUAACUCUUCCAGAAUCGAGAAAAUUAAAUUCAUAAACUUUAUUUAAUAAACCCUGAUACACAAGGUACAAAAAACAAAACCUUCUUUUAUAAUAAAAAUUUUUCAAAAUAUUUCAAUAUUCCCUCACGAUACUAAUCCACUUUAAUUAAUACUAUUUUUUCUUUAAAAAAUACUAAAACUACCCAACUCAAUAAUUAUUUUUAAUAAUAUAUAAUAGACAAAAAAAAUUCUAAUAAAUAAAAUCUAA
rnacentral:rRNA from 1 species